rnacentral:lncRNA from 1 species
AAAAAAAAAAAAUAUAUAUAUAUAUAUAUAUAUAUAUAUAUAUAUAUAUAUAUAUAUAUAUAUAUAUAUAUAUAUAUAUAUAUAUAUAUAUAUAUAUAUAUAUAAAGUGAAAGUCGUGACAUUUGCCAAGUAUGGUAGCCCAUACUCGGAAUUGGUGCUCUGCAUUUAGCCCAUCCAAGUGCACACACACAGCAGUGAAGAAGUGAACACACUGUGAUCACACACCCGGAGCAGUGGGCAGCUAUAGAUCCAGCGCCCAGGGAGCAACUGUGGGUUCAGUGCCUUGCUCAAGGGCACUUCAGUCAUGGGUAUUGAGGGUGGAAGAAAGCACUGUUUAUUCACUCCCUCCUCCUACAACUCCUGACAGCAAUGAGACUUGAACAUGCGACCUUCCAACUCUCUAACCAUUAGGCCACAGCUGUCCCCUCUGUGUGUAUGUAUAUAUAUAUAUAUAUAUAUAUAUAUAUAUAUAUAUAUAUACACACUAAAAAAUCCUGGGUUAUUUUUUCUACCCAAGUGCUGGGUUGAGCCAUUUGGGUAAAUUUUUUGGGUUAUUUUCUCAGUCUUGGGUAGUUUUUGGGUAGUUCUAUGUAACCCAACCGCUGGGUUAUUUUCUGGGUCGUUUUCACUGAGAGCUGAAUCAAUGCACCCCCUCCCCCACUCGGACGCAAUAACCCAGCUCAUUGGAGUAACCCCAGAGUGCAGUCUGGACGAUGGGGCGGGGCGACACUUCGAGGCGGAGCGACACGUGUCGCCCCGCCCAUAUUUGUUUCCCCGCCUUUGACAUUUUCCUCCGAGCCAGCAGGGGGCAGUUUGCGUUGAAACAAACAGAUCGGUGGCAACUACAGCAGCAGAGUAAUAACGCUAUUCCGUUGAUUGCUUGAGGAUGACAUGAUCAGGAGGUGGUGGUGUUCUGUUCUCCUGGACAGCUUCACUCCACAAAUAGCUCAACCACUGAGGGGAGGAACUUCACCAUUCACCAUGUCUUCAGGCAGAGUCCAGCAAAGCAGUUGUGGCCAACUGGAAGAAUUGUCCUCCUGUCUCCUGACCGGAACGAGUUCAGACGGAUGUACUGCAUCAGGGAAUGCUUGCAGUGCAGAGCCCUUUUCAAGUUUAACCCACUGGGUACAGGGAAGAGACCGGCGUGGUGAUCUUCUGGGCUUUUGUUUACACAGGAUUUUGUUCCAAGGACUGUUGUUUUUUUUUUUUUUCUUUUUUUUUUCGGCAUGA